UUUGUCCUAGCCAAUAUCUUAAGAUUUGUAACUCUACAACUAUUAAUGGGAACAAUCUCUAAUUCUGAGAGUGUAGCCUGACUUUGGUGAAUCACAUAGAUCUUGCAAGUGAGUGUGUGUGAGAGAUGAGAGAUCUAAGCAUCACCAUACAAGGUCGAGUUUGUGUGUGAAAUCUAAACACCAUCAUACAAGGUGGAGUUUGAGAAAUGAGGAUGACGAGAGGAAAAGAAGGCGGGAUGAAGAUUGACGGAAAUGGGAAUUCAGGAUAUAUAGAGAAACUGGGGUACAACGGUAAUUUCAAGUUUGCAACAGAGGAUGUAGAUUGGACCCGCAAAAGAUGUCAAAAGAGGAGAUGUCAUUAUGCUUCGAUAAAAGAUCAAAUCUGGGCGUUUUGAAUGCAUAUGGUAAAAGAGUAACAGAAAGAGACUCAUGAUCUUUAUUGUGUGUAUCGACAAAAAAGAGCAAAAAUUAAAUGCAUUUCUAAAAAGACCGAUGGCCAAAAAACCGAUGGCCAAAAAACAAUGUAUUUAUGUUUCGAUUUUAUUUUUAACUUAUUGGGUGCUCCAAUAGAAGAAAAAUUGUGUAUAUUUAUGUCAUAAUUUUCUAAUUAUUUCUCUGCUAGCUGGGUUAAUUAAUAUUGCCCCUAUUGAUGUAUUUUUCUAAUGUAUUACAAGGUUAUUUGUGUUUAUUGUCAUAUAUUACGACUUUCUCUAAUAAAAGUGGAAUAUGUUUAGAUGUA